GGGUUGUGAGGUUAAGCGACUAAGCGUACACGGUGGAUGCCCUGGCAGUCAGAGGCGAUGAAGGGCGUGCUAAUCUGCGAUAAGCGCCGGUAAGGUGAUAUGAACCGUUAUAACCGGCGAUACCCGAAUGGGGAAACCCAGUGUGAUUCGUCACACUAUCAUUAACUGAAUCCAUAGGUUAAUGAGGCGAACCGGGGGAACUGAAACAUCUAAGUACCCCGAGGAAAAGAAAUCAACCGAGAUUCCCCCAGUAGCGGCGAGCGAACGGGGAGGAGCCCAGAGCCUGAAUCAGCAUGUGUGUUAGUGGAAGCGUCUGGAAAGGCGCGCGAUACAGGGUGACAGCCCCGUACACAAAAGCGCAUGUGCUGUGAGCUCGAUGAGUAGGGCGGGACACGUGGUAUCCUGUCUGAAUAUGGGGGGACCAUCCUCCAAGGCUAAAUACUCCUGACUGACCGAUAGUGAACCAGUACCGUGAGGGAAAGGCGAAAAGAACCCCGGCGAGGGGAGUGAAAAAGAACCUGAAACCGUGUACGUACAAGCAGUGGGAGCACAGGUUUACCUGUGUGACUGCGUACCUUUUGUAUAAUGGGUCAGCGACUUAUAUUCUGUAGCAAGGUUAACCGUAUAGGGGAGCCGUAGGGAAACCGAGUCUUAACCGGGCGUUAAGUUGCAGGGUAUAGACCCGAAACCCGGUGAUCUAGCCAUGGGCAGGUUGAAGGUUGGGUAACACUAACUGGAGGACCGAACCGACUAAUGUUGAAAAAUUAGCGGAUGACCUGUGGCUGGGGGUGAAAGGCCAAUCAAACCGGGAGAUAGCUGGUUCUCCCCGAAAGCUAUUUAGGUAGCGCCUCGUGAAUUCAUCUCCGGGGGUAGAGCACUGUUUCGGCUAGGGGGCCAUCCCGGCUUACCAACCCGAUGCAAACUGCGAAUACCGGAGAAUGUUAUCACGGGAGACACACGGCGGGUGCUAACGUCCGUCGUGAAGAGGGAAACAACCCAGACCGCCAGCUAAGGUCCCAAAGUCAUGGUUAAGUGGGAAACGAUGUGGGAAGGCCCAGACAGCCAGGAUGUUGGCUUAGAAGCAGCCAUCAUUUAAAGAAAGCGUAAUAGCUCACUGGUCGAGUCGGCCUGCGCGGAAGAUGUAACGGGGCUAAACCAUGCACCGAAGCUGCGGCAGCGAACGUAUCACUUAAAGCGAUUCAGCGGGUUACGAUUGACGGAGCGAAGCGACGUCAAAGCGUAUACAAAGUCGAGUCGGUUUAAGGAUACGUUCGUUGGGUAGGGGAGCGUUCUGUAAGCCUGUGAAGGUGUGUCGUGAGGCAUGCUGGAGGUAUCAGAAGUGCGAAUGCUGACAUAAGUAACGAUAAAGCGGGUGAAAAGCCCGCUCGCCGGAAGACCAAGGGUUCCUGUCCAACGUUAAUCGGGGCAGGGUGAGUCGACCCCUAAGGCGAGGCCGAAAGGCGUAGUCGAUGGGAAACGGGUUAAUAUUCCCGUACUUGGUGUUACUGCGAAGGGGGGACGGAGAAGGCUAUGUUGGCCGGGCGACGGUUGUCCCGGUUUAAGCGUGUAGGUGUGUGUUCCAGGUAAAUCCGGUUCACUUUAACACUGAGGCGUGAUGACGAGGCACUACGGUGCUGAAGCAACAAAUGCCCUGCUUCCAGGAAAAGCCUCUAAGCAUCAGGUAACAUCAAAUCGUACCCCAAACCGACACAGGUGGUCAGGUAGAGAAUACCAAGGCGCUUGAGAGAACUCGGGUGAAGGAACUAGGCAAAAUGGUGCCGUAACUUCGGGAGAAGGCACGCUGACACGUAGGUGAAGUGAUUUACUCACGGAGCUGAAGUCAGUCGAAGAUACCAGCUGGCUGCAACUGUUUAUUAAAAACACAGCACUGUGCAAACACGAAAGUGGACGUAUACGGUGUGACGCCUGCCCGGUGCCGGAAGGUUAAUUGAUGGGGUCAGCGCAAGCGAAGCUCCUGAUCGAAGCCCCGGUAAACGGCGGCCGUAACUAUAACGGUCCUAAGGUAGCGAAAUUCCUUGUCGGGUAAGUUCCGACCUGCACGAAUGGCGUAAUGAUGGCCAGGCUGUCUCCACCCGAGACUCAGUGAAAUUGAACUCGCUGUGAAGAUGCAGUGUACCCGCGGCAAGACGGAAAGACCCCGUGAACCUUUACUAUAGCUUGACACUGAACAUUGAGCCUUGAUGUGUAG
rnacentral:rRNA from 1 species